rnacentral:tRNA from 1 species
GGGCCCGUGGUGAAAUCUGGUAUCACACACCCUUGGCUUGGGUGAGUCUCCGGGUUCAAAUCCCGGCAGGUCCA